rnacentral:lncRNA from 1 species
UUUGUGGAUUGAUGAAUAUUCUUUCAGAAUUUUUCAUCAAUAUGUUGUAUUUUUAAAUAAUUUUCUUAAAAACUGCUAUUUUUGGAAAGUUUUCAGUUUUUUUGAGAAAUAUUGUAGAUUUGGGUUUGUGAUUAAGAAAUUCGGCUAACAAGAAUAUUUUUGGAUAGAUGAGUAUUCUUUAAGAAUUUUUCAUCAAUAUGUUGUAUUUUUAAAUAAUUUUCUUAAAAACUGCUUCAUUUUUUAGAGAAAUGAUGUAGAUUUGGGUUUGUGAUAUAGAAAUUCGGAUAACAAUAAUAUUUGUGGAUAGAUGAGUAUUUUUUCUGAGUUUUUAAUCAAUAGGUUGUAUUUUUAAAUAAUUUUCUUAAAAACUGAUAUUUUUGGAAUGUUUUCAUUUUUUAGAGAAAUACCGUAGAUUAGGGUUUGUGAUUUAGAAAUUAU